GGCGUAUUUUGGUAACGGUUUAAGGAUGGGGUUCCCGAAAUUUGUGACCUAAUCAGCAUCCAAGUAGGGGUCCGGCCUUUCGGGAUUCCCUAUAUUUACGGCAUUGCCACUAGCGAAACUUAUAAAUCUCAAUCUAGUGACUCUUGGUCUUUUGUCUUGGCCGCUGUCGCUUUCUUCCGCCGCCGCCUUCUUGCCUUCCUGAUCCGGUCUGUGAAAUCGCGAGCUUCUUUCGCAUCUGCAGCCCCUGAGCAUCAGAGACUCUCAAGAAGGUCAAGAUGGAGAAGCCCACAGACUCCAGCAAGGGGGAGAAAAGGAAACACGAGAGGUAGUCAGCAGAGAAUACGCCAUGCAUGGCCACAAAGUAAGUGCUCUUCCGAAGAUUUGGAAAUCAUGGAACAAAGAUUAUUUUUGCGGUUAGAGGAGGAAUGCCCCUGGCGGAGCGCCGAGGGCGAGGAUUUUCCAGCCCCCAAAGAUUCUGAGGUCAUUUUGUUUGCCUCUUUUCUUGAGUACGGGCAUUCAAUGCCUGUGAGUAGUUUUAUGGAGGGGAUUCUUUAUUACUAUAAGAUCCAACUCCAUAAAUUUACUUCGCAGUCUGUGCCACACAUAUCUGUGUUUGUGCACCUCUGCGGGGCUUUCCUUGGUAUUGAGCCUCAUUUCGAGUUCUUCCGCACCCUGUACAAACUCGUGACUUUCCCCUUUUCUGAGAGGAUGGGUAGAGUGGGGUGCGCUCAUUUGGAACUUCAAGAGAAAGUAGUUGGGAAGUACCUAGUUUGGCCCAUGAUUGCGUUGAGCCCCCGAUGGCCCAACGACUGGUUUUAUAUUAGAAAUCCUUCCACUGGUCUUCCUCGAUUUAGCGCUGACCCAGCUGAGUGGUUGAGGGGCUGGUAUAUUGGAUCCAUUACUGAGCGUCCUGUGCAAGUUUCUGAAUCGUAGGAGCGCACUGUCUGCUUCCGAAAGAUGGGUGUGACGGCUGCUUCCGUUGUUCUAAACUAUACACAACGCUAGAUUCAGCCACUGCAGAGGCAUGUGCAUUUUGGUUUCCAGGACCGAGGGACUGAAGAUGUUGAUCGGUUAUCUGCAAAGUCGAUUGACCGUGAAGCUGGGCUCAGGGUCUUCCAAAGCAUAUUUCUAGAUCAGCUCACUGUUCCUUACGUGCCCACAGUUUUUUAGGCUUCUAAUCCUCAUGCGGGGGUAAGAUUGCUUUCACCUCACGACUACUUUUUGUAUGAUUGAUUGUUUCAUUCAGGUAACUCUUUAUUCUUAUACUUGUUCCCCAUAGGCCGAUGUGAGUGUGUUCAAGAGUGAUCCCCUGCUUCCUGGCUCUCUGGGCAAGAAGGGCCAGAAUGAUUUUCACGAUUACCCGCUUGGCGAAGUGAACUGUCUGAGUACUUUGGGCCGUACUUCAGUCCCGGCAUCAACAGAUGCUGCUACUACAAGGCCAGUCGCCCCUACUACCAGCUCUGGGUUGUCGUGGAGGGGGUUGAAAGUUCCCAAGAUACUAGUCGUGAAGAGGGCAAGUAUGUGAGUAUCUUACUCGCUUGGUCUUGUAGUUAGUCAUUAUGACCUUGCUUUUUCUAACCUUUUGGCUGCUUUGUAGAGGUGCUACCAACUUGAACUUGCCGGCGCGGCGAGCGAGAGGUUCCACGUCGACUACUUCUAUGGGAGGUCGGGCGGACGACUCGGCUACUGCGUCAUCCGGGAUGGUUAUUGGAGCGAAAGCUCGGACUGCUGUUCCUUCUCCUGGUCCAACCGAUUCAGGUCAGGAGGAGGCGAUAGAUGAAGUGAAUGCGCUGGGGAUGGGGCCUUCCACCGAUCCAGUCUUAGGUGUGGCUGGAUCGGACUCUAUUGAGGUAGAGGCCAUGGACUCGUUCCAUUAUCCACCCUCUGGUUUUCCAAAAGCACCGGACUUGUGGACAGAGGAUGUGGACCUCGAAGCCCCCAAGGUGGUUGCUCCCGGAGGUGCCUGCUGCCGGCGAAGCCGAUUGCGAAGCCGGCAGGAAAUGAAGCUCCAGGGGUAGUCCCUCUGGAGAUGUCUAAUGAGGUACCAGAUGGACUCAUUAAUGACGAUCUUCUAGAGGAAUGCCUCUUGAAGGAGAUGCAGAACUCGCUGGAGUGAAUUUAUAACCAUCAUAAGAAACUAGCUCGGAGGUCUCAGAUUAAGUCGUCCGCUCUAGCUAUCAAGUCGGAGCGACUCCAACAGUUUCUAGUUCUCAAGCGGGAGUUCGAGGAGAAGGACGAUCUGAUUGCUGCACUCGCGAAGCAGUUGGCUGCCAGUCACGAGAGCGUGACUGGUUCCACCAGCCGCCAUGAUGAAGUUGCUCAGCUGAAGAGGGAGAGAAAUUAGGCCCUUCAAGAUUGUGCACAACUCUGUGGUUUUAAUGCCAAUCUUGAAGGGUAUAAGAAGACUGUGGAGUAGCAGCUGGAGCAGGCUAACCAGAAGAUCGCUGACCAACUCCAGACCAUCCAGAAGCUUAACCGGAACAAAGAUCGUAGGGACAAAAUUUUUGACCUGGAGGAGGGCGCCGUUGUCACACCCGGUUUUAAGGACAAAAUCAAAUGCAUAGCUAUAUGUAUGCCAGGAUCAAGUUUCGUACAUAUAGAGACAUUAUAAGUAAAUAAUCAGUAACAGUAUCAUGAAAAAGAGAAUUAAAACAAUUAUAGACUACCCGAGUUAUACAGCUUAUCCUGUAAACGAAGGCUUCAAACUACACAAGCAAUUGACUAGGGGUUGCGUACGCCUAGAACACGGCAUCAUCUUCGAAAGACUUCAUAGCAACUUUCUCUUCUUAGCAGCAAUGAGCAAGGGUGAGUACACUUAUGGUUGGUACUCAGCAAGGUAUUGG